rnacentral:rRNA from 1 species
AAAAAAGGCGGUAGGCAUGAUUCUUAGGCAAAUCCGGGAAUCUCUAUGCCGAGCACCGAGACGAGUCCUAUGAGGACGAAGUGACUGACACCACGCUUCCAGGAAAAGCCACUAAGCUUCAGCUGUAGAAAAACCGUACCGCAAACCGACACAGGUAGGCAGGGUGAGAAUCCCAAGGCGCUUGAGAGAACUCGGGUGAAGGAACUAGGCAAAAUGGCACCGUAACUUCGGGAGAAGGUGCGCCUCUUGGUGUGGUCACGUGCGUGACUGAGCAUCGAGGGGUCGCAGUAACCUGGCCGCUGCGACUGUUUAUCAAAAACACAGCACUCUGCAAACACGAAAGUGGACGUAUAGGGUGUGACGCCUGCCCGGUGCUGGAAGGUUAAUUGAUGGGGUCAGCCGCAAGGCGAAGCUCUUGAUCGAAGCCCCAGUAAACGGCGGCCGUAACAAUAACGGUCCUAAGGUGGUGAAAUUCCUUGUCGGGUAAGUUCCGACCUGCACGAAUGGCGUAACGACAGCGGCGCUGUCUCCACCCGAGACUCAGUGAAAUUGAAAUCGCUGUGAAGAUGCAGCGUUCCCGCGGCAAGACGGAAAGACCCCGUGAACCUUUACUAUAGCUUUACACUGAACGUUGAGUUCUUCUGUGUAGGAUAGGUGGGAGGCUAUGAAACCAGGACGCUAGUUCUGGUGGAGCCAUCCUUGAAAUACCACCCUGAAGUGCUUGACGUUCUAACCUAGGUCCGUAAUCCGGAUCGGGGACCGUGUAUGGUGGGUAGUUUGACUGGGGCGGUCUCCUCCCAAAGAGUAACGGAGGAGCACGGAGGUACGCUCAGCGCGGUCGGACAUCGCGCACUGUGUGCAAAGGCAUAAGCGUGCUUGACUGCGAGAUCGACGGAUCAAGCAGGUACGAAAGUAGGUCUUAGUGAUCCGGUGGUUCUGUAUGGAAGGGCCAUCGCUCAACGGAUAAAAGGUACUCCGGGGAUAACAGGCUGAUACCGCCCAAGAGUUCAUAUCGACGGCGGUGUUUGGCACCUCGAUGUCGGCUCAUCACAUCCUGGGGCUGUAGCCGGUCCCAAGGGUAUGGCUGUUCGCCAUUUAAAGUGGUACGCGAGCUGGGUUCAGAACGUCGUGAGACAGUUCGGUCCCUAUCUGUCGUGGGCGUUGGAGAUUUGAGGGGGGCUGCUCCUAGUACGAGAGGACCGGAGUGGACGUUCCGCUGGUGUUCGGGUUGUCAUGCCCAUGGCAUUGCCCGGUAGCUACGAACGGAAGUGAUGACCGCUGAAAGCAUCUAAGCGGGAAGCACGCCCCAAGAUGAGAUCUCCCGAGAGCUUGACUCUCCUAAAGGCACCAUCAAGACUAGGUGGUUGAUAGGCACGGUGUGGAAGUGCAGCAAUGCAUUGAGCUUACGUGUACUAAUGAGCCGUGAGGCUUGACCG